UGAGGAAUAUUGGUCAAUGGACGAGAGUCUGAACCAGCCAAAUCGCGUGAAGGAAGACUGCCCUACGGGUUGUAAACUUCUUUUGUACAGGAAUAAAAGACAUUACGUGUAAUGUAUUGCAUGUACUGUACGAAUAAGCAUCGGCUAACUCCGUGCCAGCAGCCGCGGUAAUACGGAGGAUGCGAGCGUUAUCCGGCUUUAUUGGGUUUAAAGGGUGCGCAGGCGGGAUUUUAAGUCAGCGGUGAAAUUUUCAGGCUCAACCUGAACACUGCCGUUGGAACUGGGAUUCUUGAGUAUGGAUGAAGUAGGCGGAAUUCGUUGUGUAGCGGCGACAUGCUUAGAUAUAACGAGGAACUCCGAUUGCGUAGGCAGCUUACUAAGCCAUAACUGACGCUCAAGCACGAAAGCGUGGGGAUCAAACA
rnacentral:rRNA from 1 species